rnacentral:rRNA from 1 species
UACACUCCUGCGGGAGGCAGCAGUGGGGAAUUUUGGACAAUGGGCGAAAGCCUGAUCCAGCAAUGCCGCGUGUGUGAAGAAGGCCUUCGGGUUGUAAAGCACUUUUGUCCGGAAAGAAAUCCUUGGCUCUAAUACAGUCGGGGGAUGACGGUACCGGAAGAAUAAGCACCGGCUAACUACGUGCCAGCAGCCGCGGUAAUACGUAGGGUGCGAGCGUUAAUCGGAAUUACUGGGCGUAAAGCGUGCGCAGGCGGUUUGCUAAGACCGAUGUGAAAUCCCCGGGCUCAACCUGGGAACUGCAUUGGUGACUGGCAGGCUAGAGGAUGGCAGAGGGGGGUAGAAUUCCACGUGUAGCAGUGAAAUGCGUAGAGAUGUGGAGGAAUACCGAUGGCGAAGGCAGCCCCCUGGGCCAAUACUGACGCUCAUGCACGAAAGCGUGGGGAGCAAACAGGAUUAGAAACCCCAGUAGUCCCAUGA